rnacentral:ncRNA from 19 species
UAACCGAAAUGCAUGGUGGGAAAUCUUUGUGAAAUUCAAUAGCUGUACCUGCAACCGUAAAGUCGGAGCGCCACCCGGUUAAGUCCUUUGAAGAAUGAAGGCCAGGGAAAGUCUAAUUCUACAAUGAAAAA